rfam:Triticum aestivum genome assembly, contig: Triticum_aestivum_CS42_TGACv1_scaffold_488173_6AS
UUAAUACUCCCUCCGGUCCAAAUUACUCGUCGCGGAAAUGGGUGUAUCUAGAACUAAAAUACAUCUAGAUACAUCCUUACCUGCGACAAGUAAUUCGGAACGGAGGGAGUGCCAC